rnacentral:lncRNA from 1 species
UGAGCUAUUCCUCCCAGCACGCCUGGCAGGACAACUCCGCCAUCAGGGCUGCAGCAGAUGUGGACGAAAGCGCCGGGGCUUCCUUCCAGGGGAGCAUCAAGGCCUCUGAAGCAAGCAGCAGGAUCUGCUUCUGCCAGAUGCCCGGCUGCUUGUCCCUGGACCAGAGAUGCUGAGGGUUGUGAGGAGCAGCAAAAGCUGUGGUCGCACCAUCUCAGACCCCUGGGAAGCAGGGUGAACGUUCACAGCUUUGCCUUGUGUCUCUGCCCUGCAUCAUUUCGAAACUAAGGGUUAUUGUGAAGGAGGGUGCUGAGAACGAGGAGGGGAUCUCCAUCCGUCUCUGUGGGCCUCAGCGCCGCUCCCACCGGCACUCCCUUCCUUCUUCAUGAAUCUGCAACUUUGUGUCCCCCACCACCUAACCCCUCC